AUUAAAGUUGUUGCAGUUAAAAAGCUCGUAGUUGGACUUGUGUGCGCUGUCCGCGGGUGGCCUGCGCCCAAAAGGGCGUUUCGGUUCGGCCCCGGUGGCGCCUUGAAAUCUGCAGCUGGGGGGACGUUGGCCUUAACUGGUCGGCGACCGCACGCCGGCUGCUCGGUUACUGUGAGAAAAUUAGAGUGUUCAAGGCAGGCAUUGGGUGCAAUUGAAUACAUUAGCAUGGAAUAAUAAAAUAUGGCUCCUGCCGUAUUUUGUUGGUUUUGACUGGUGGGAGUAAUGAUUGAUAGGGACGGUUGGGGGUGCUAGUAUUGAGCGGCCAGAGGUGAAAUUCAUGGAUUCGCUCAAGACUAACUUAUGCGAAAGCAUUCACCAAGGACGUCCUCUUUAAUCAAGAACGAAAGUUGGGGGAUCGAAGACGAUCAGAUACCGUCGUAGUCUCAACCAUAAACUAUGUCGACUUGGGAUCGGCGGUAGUUUUUUUCAUUAAGACACUGUCGGGACCACGGGAGAAAUCAAAGUGUCUGGACUCUGGGGGAAGUAUGGUCGCAAGGCUGAAACUUGAAGGAAUUGACGGAAGGGCACCACCAGGAGUGGAGCCUGCGGCUUAAUUUGACACAACACGGGGAAACUUACCAGGUCCAGAGAUGUAGAGGAUUGACAGAUUGAAGCUCUUUCUUGAUCACUUCGGUGGUGGUGCAUGGCCGUUCUUAGUUGGUGGAGUGAUUUAUCUGGUUAAUUCCGUUAACGAACGAGACCUCAGCCUGCUAGUGUAGUCGGCUGGAUUGCCUUUGGCGAUCCGUGAUUUCGACUUCUUAGAGGGACAAUCGACGCGCAGUCGAUGGAAGUUUGAGGCAAUAACAGGUCUGUGAUGCCCUUAGAUGUUCUGGGCCGCACGCGCGCUACACUGCUGGGCUCAGCGAGUUUUACUUGGCCGAGAGGCCCGGUUAAUCUUGUGAAAUCCCAGCGUGCUUGGGCUCGCCUCCUGCAACUGGAGGCGCCAACGAGGAAUUCCUAGUAGACGCAGGUCAUCAACCUGCAUCGAUUACGUCCCUGCCCUUUGUACACACCGCCCGUCGUUCCAUAAGAGUGAGGCAUCCGGUGAAUUCUCGGGAGAGCCUGGGCGUGGCCAGCAAUGGUCUGCUCGGGUUUGAACUUGCAUAAACUUGGUGCCUAUGAUUAGGG
rnacentral:rRNA from 1 species